GAAAUUGUCUCCACAUUUGCCUCUGGCUCUUAUGGUUUGAACAGAAAAAUCAAAGAUGUUCACAUACUGGACUCCACUAAUCCAAGAAGCAAAAUACCUAAGCUAAUGAAGGGUCUUCUAAAGAUGCCAUAUCCCUAAGACAACAGGAAGCAGUCUAGAGAACACAAAACCUACAUUCCCAAGAGGUUCCAAUUCCAUUCCUGGGCUAUGUAGCAAAAACAACCUUGAUACACACCCAUAGCCACCACAAGUUCACAUGGGGAAAACCUCCAGUCCUUGCCUCCCUUCCCAGAAUGUCUCCAGAAGAUAAACUAUGAA